rnacentral:rRNA from 1 species
UGGCUCAGAUUGAACGCUGGCGGCAGGCCUAACACAUGCAAGUCGAGCGGUAGCACAGGAGAGCUUGCUCUUUGGGUGACGAGCGGCGGACGGGUGAGUAAUGUCUGGGAAACUGCCUGAUGGAGGGGGAUAACUACUGGAAACGGUAGCUAAUACCGCAUAACGUCGCAAGACCAAAGAGGGGGACCUUCGGGCCUCUUGCCAUCAGAUGUGCCCAGAUGGGAUUAGCUAGUAGGUGGGGUAAUGGCUCACCUAGGCGACGAUCCCUAGCUGGUCUGAGAGGAUGACCAGCCACACUGGAACUGAGACACGGUCCAGACUCCUACGGGAGGCAGCAGUGGGGAAUAUUGCACAAUGGGCGCAAGCCUGAUGCAGCCAUGCCGCGUGUAUGAAGAAGGCCUUCGGGUUGUAAAGUACUUUCAGCGAGGAGGAAGGCAUUGUGGUUAAUAACCGCAGUGAUUGACGUUACUCGCAAAAAAAGCACCGGCUAACUCCGUGCCAGCAGCCGCGGU